rnacentral:rRNA from 1 species
GCUUGCGAGGGCGUAUGGUGGAUGCCUUGGCAGACAGUACCGAUGAAGGACGUUUGAGGAUGCGAUAAUCCUAGGGGAGCCUCCAACAUGGCUUUGAUCCUAGGGUCUCCGAAUGGGGGAACCCGCCGGCCGUCAUGGGCGGGCACCGCCUAUGGGCGGGGGGUACGCAGGGAAGUGAAACAUCUCAGUACCUGCAGGAAGGGAUACUCCGUGAGUAGUGGCGAGCGAAAGCGGAUCAGACCAAACCGGUUGCGCGUGAUACCCGUCGGGGGUUGCGUUGCCGGUGUUGUGGGAUCACGUGUCCCGGUUCCGACGGGCCGGGCGGGAGUCAUAAAACGGCUUGUCAGGGGAACAGGCUUGAAGGCCUGGCCGUAGAGGGUGCCAGCCCCGUACCUGGACGUGAGCCGUCUU